CCCCGGAGCUCUGCGCUCGCUUCCGUGGCCCCCGGGACAUCCAGCCUGAAGGACAGUGGGGCAGGAAUUUUUCCGGGGCAAGACGCUUCAGCCUGCAAGGCUGACCGCUCCCGAGCCGCUCGCAGGCCCGCAGAGUUGGGAGGAGAGCAGUCCAGACUACAGAAAGAGCACGGACAGAGGCGUGGAGAGGAGGCAGUCAGCAAGUUCUUGUAACCGGCCCAUUUGGAAUUAGAGACCAUCCUGAUCCUCACCAAUCCCCACAGGAGUCUCCACUCCUCUAGUGGGAAUCCAGAGACUGGAGCCCAGCCUAUUCCAAAAUCCCACCACUGCCAGCCUGCAAUUCCAUUUGCCACUCCUCUGAAUGAAAGCACUGUUGUCUCCUGAAGGUCCCAGAGGGACACAAUAAAUGGAGAAGGUA
rnacentral:lncRNA from 1 species